GACGAACGCUGGCGGCGUGCUUAACACAUGCCAGUCGAACGGAAAGGCCCUGCUUUUGUGGGGUGCUCGAGUGGCGAACGGGUGAGUAACACGUGAGUAACCUGCCCUUGACUUUGGGAUAACUUCAGGAAACUGGGGCUAAUACCGGAUAGGAGCUCCUGCUGCAUGGGGGGGGUUGGAAAGGUUCGGCGGUUGGGGAUGGACUCGCGGCUUAUCAGCUUGUUGGUGGGGUAGUGGCUUACCAAGGCUUUGACGGGUAGCCGGCCUGGGAGGGUGACCGGCCACAUGGGGACUGAGAUACGGCCCAGACUCCUACGGGAGGCAGCAGGGGGAAAUAUUGCACAAUGGGCGGAAGCCUGAUGCAGCAACGCCGCGUGCGGGAUGACGGCCUUGGGGUUGUAAACCGCUUUCGCCUGUGACGAAGCGUGAGUGACGGUAAUGGGUAAAGAAGCACCGGCUAACUACGUG
rnacentral:rRNA from 1 species